UACAGAGGUGGCAAGCGUUGUUCGGAAUUACUGGGCGUAAAGGGCGCGUAGGCGGCCUUGUAAGUCUCGUGUGAAAGCCCUCGGCUUAACUGAGGAUCUGCACGGGAUACUGCGAGGCUUGAGUUCGGGAGAGGAAAGCGGAAUUCCGGGUGUAGCGGUGAAAUGCGUAGAUAUCCGGAGGAACACCAGUGGCGAAGGCGGCUUUCUGGACCGACACUGACGCUGAGGCGCGAAAGCUAGGGGAGCAAACGGG
rnacentral:rRNA from 2 species